ensembl:snRNA U1 U1 spliceosomal RNA
AUACUUAACUGGCAGGGGAGAUGCCAUGAUCACAAAGGUGGUUUUCCCAGGGCGAGGCUCAUCCAUUGCAUUCUGGGUGGGCUGACUCCUGUGAUUUCCCCAAAUGCAGGAAAUUUGUAGUAUAAUAACUGCAUAAUGGCACCCAA